rnacentral:rRNA from 1 species
AACGAACGCUGGCGGCAUGCCUAACACAUGCAAGUCGAACGAGAUCUUCGGGUCUAGUGGCGCACGGGUGCGUAACGCGUGGGAAUCUGCCCUUUGGUUCGGAAUAACAGUUGGAAACGACUGCUAAUACCGGAUGAUGACGAAAGUCCAAAGAUUUAUCGCCAGAGGAUGAGCCCGCGUAGGAUUAGCUAGUUGGUGUGGUAAAGGCGCACCAAGGCGACGAUCCUUAGCUGGUCUGAGAGGAUGAUCAGCCACACUGGGACUGAGACACGGCCCAGACUCCUACGGGAGGCAGCAGUGGGGAAUAUUGGACAAUGGGGGAAAGCCUGAUCCAGCAAUGCCGCGUGAGUGAUGAAGGCCUUAGGGUUGUAAAGCUCUUUUACCCGUGAUGAUAAUGACAGUACCGGGAGAAUAAGCUCCGGCUAACUCCGUGCCAGCAGCCGCCGUAA